rnacentral:rRNA from 1 species
GCAAGUCGAGCGGAAACGAUGAUAGCUUGCUAUCAGGCGUCGAGCGGCGGACGGGUGAGUAACGCGUAGGAACCUGCCCGAUAGAGGGGGAUAGCCAUUGGAAACGAUGAUUAAUACCGCAUAAUGUCUACGGACCAAAGAAGGGGAUCUUCGGACCUUUCGCUAUCGGAUGGGCCUGCGUAGGAUUAGCUAGUUGGUGGGGUAAUGGCCUACCAAGGCGACGAUCCUUAGCUGGUCUGAGAGGAUGAUC